rnacentral:rRNA from 1 species
GGGGAGCAGCCCAGAGCCUGAAUCAGUGUGUGUGUUAGUGGAAGCGUCUGGAAAGGCGUGCGAUACAGGGUGACAGCCCCGUACACAAAAAUGCACAUAUUGUGAGCUUGAUGAGUAGGGCGGGACACGUGGUAUCCUGUCUGAAUAUGGGGGGACCAUCCUCCAAGGCUAAAUACUCCUGACUGACCGAUAGUGAACCAGUACCGUGAGGGAAAGGCGAAAAGAACCCCGGCGAGGGGAGUGAAAAAGAACCUGAAACCGUGUACGUACAAGCAGUGGGAGCACGCUUAGGCGUGUGACUGCGUACCUUUUGUAUAAUGGGUCAGCGACUUAUAUUCUGUAGCAAGGUUAACCGAAUAGGGGAGCCGAAGGGAAACCGAGUCUUAACUGGGCGUUAAGUUGCAGGGUAUAGACCCGAAACCCGGUGAUCUAGCCAUGGGCAGGUUGAAGGUUGGGUAACACUAACUGGAGGACCGAACCGACUAAUGUUGAAAAAUUAGCGGAUGACUUGUGGCUGGGGGUGAAAGGCCAAUCAAACCGGGAGAUAGCUGGUUCUCCCCGAAAGCUAUUUAGGUAGCGCCUCGUGAAUUCAUCUCCGGGGGUAGAGCACUGUUUCGGCA